AUGCUCACUUUGGCAGUACAUAUACUAAAAUUGGAUCAAUACAGAGAAGAUUAGCAUGUCCCAUAUACAAUAAUGACACAAAACAUUGAACUAGGUGACAUAUGUUC
rnacentral:snRNA from 1 species